rnacentral:rRNA from 1 species
AACGAACGCUGGCGGCAUGCCUAACACAUGCAAGUCGAACGAGACCUUCAGGUCUAGUGGCGCACGGGUGCGUAACGCGUGGGAAUCUGCCCUUGGGUUCGGAAUAACUCGCCGAAAGGCGUGCUAAUACCGGAUGAUGACGUAAGUCCAAAGAUUUAUCGCCCAAGGAUGAGCCCGCGUAGGAUUAGCUUGUUGGUGAGGUAAAAGCUCACCAAGGCGACGAUCCUUAGCUGGUCUGAGAGGAUGAUCAGCCACACUGGGACUGAGACACGGCCCAGACUCCUACGGGAGGCAGCAGUGGGGAAUAUUGGACAAUGGGCGAAAGCCUGAUCCAGCAAUGCCGCGUGAGUGAUGAAGGCCUUAGGGUUGUAAAGCUCUUUUACCCGGGAUGAUAAUGAC